GUGCUCGCUUCGGCAGCCCAUAAACUAAUACCGAAAUGGUACAGAAGAUUAUCAUAGUCCCUGUGCAAGGAUGACACAUAGAUUCGUGAAGUGUUCCAUAUUUUU